GAUCAUGGCUCAGGACGAACGCUGGCGGCGUGCUUAACACAUGCAAGUCGAACGAAGAGCGAUGGAAGCUUGCUUCUUUCAAUCUUAGUGGCGAACGGGUGAGUAACGCGUAAUCAACCUGCCCUUCAGAGGGGGACGAACAGUUGGAAACGACUGCUAAUACCGCAUACGAUCCAAUCUCGGCAUCGAGACUGGACGAAAGGUGGCCUCUAUUUAUAAGCUAUCACUGAAGGAGGGGA
rnacentral:rRNA from 1 species